rnacentral:lncRNA from 10 species
UGCCCGAGGCAGCCUGAGCGCGGCUGGGGCUCGGAAAGCGCCAAGCAGGCAGGGACCGAGAGGGGUGAUGGCGCGCCCACCCCUGCAGAGCCGCCUGCGCGGUUGUCCCGCGCGUCCCUGCCGGCGAAGGCUGUGAGAAGCACCGCGGGGCUACGGCGCCUCCAUCCUCUCUAACAGCCGCGCUUACCAGACAGCCAGCCUCCAGCGCUGCUAGGCUACUCCGAGCAGGGGAGAAAAGACGCCGGUCCGCCGGGGACCAGGAGGGAGACGUGAAACCAGAGGCCCGGGGGCCCCCUCUCCGCCUGUGCGACUUGUAGUCUCGUACCAGACGCGUCCGCUUCACUGCUGAAUCUGAAAACGUGGGCUCUUGAGAGCUGCCCUUGGAAGGAGCUGUGCUUUCUGCCUCAUCUUUAACUUUUCGUUUAUUCAGCAAAUAUGUAUCAAGUUCCGACUUCGUGGAAGAGAUUGUGUUAGACACUGGGAGUAAUAGAAACAUAAUUAAGAAGCAGGGGUCCCGGACCUGAAGGGCCUGAGCGUCGGUUCUGAAGGCUGAGAAGUUCAAGAGCAAGUGCUGGCAUCUGAUGAGGGCCUUCUUGCUGUAUCAUCCUACGGUGGAAGGGUUUCACUGUAUCUCCCAGGCUGGAAUAUAGUGGAGAUCAUGGCUCACUGCAACCUUGACCUCCUGGGCUCAAGCGGUCUUCACACCUCAGCCUCCCCAGUAGCUGAUCCUACAGGUUCUUUCAAACUGGGAAAGCUCAUUAAAAGAAAAAUGAGAAAAUCUAUUGGCUGGAUCCUGAACCCUUGGAAGCUCUGUCUGGAUACAUUCUUCUCUGGCAGGAUGCUCUAUGUGGCUCUUUCCAUGUGUAGUUUCCAAUGAAACAGGAAGGACUCUAAUUGAGUGCCUGCCCACAUCUCUACAGCUCCACACCUUCCACUAAGGGCACAAUAAGACCUCCACUGUGAGAGGCUCCACAGUGUACUACGUUGGUGGUGAGAAAAGGAUUGGGGGAGAGGGGAGGAGAAGAACAGGGAAAGAAAAGCAGUGGUUGGAAGUCAGGCUUCGAUUCUUUACAGGAAAACAUGGUUAUGGCUGUCAAUAAUGGAAUGAGCCACUGGGAGAAGUGUGAUCCUCUCCCAUUGGUUGCCUGGAGAAGGAAUGGGGAAAAUUAUUAUUAUUGUUUAUAUUAAUUGUUAACAUAAAGGAGCAUUAGGAAAUUUUGGGGGGUUCACUUUUUUUUUAGAUGGAGUCUUGCUAUGUUGCCCAGGCUGGUCUUGAAUUCAUGAGCUCAAGUGACCCUCCCACCUCAGCCUCCUGAGUAGCUGGGAUUAUGAGCACACACCAUCGUGCCUGGCCAAUGGUUCACAAUCUUGAUUUUCGUAAUGGCUUCAUAGGUGUAUACAUAGGCUGAAAUUUAUCAGGUUGUAUACUUAAAAAAUGCGAAUUUCCCACAUGUUAAUCAUAUCUCAAUAAAGCUGUUCCCCUUACUUAGAUUCUUGCAAUAAUACACUGGCCUUGUGGCCAACUGCAGAAAAGAAUGGCCACUGUGUCUUUUCUUUCCUAUAUCCAAGCCCCUUCCAUGUAGCUGAGGGCCCUUUCACCUUGGGCUCACCCAUGAUUGCACUGGCUGAUGGGGUGUAGGCAAACCCAAUACAAUGGUACCCUCCAGCAAUGUGUGAACAGGCCUAACCUGGAUGGCUGGGGAAUGAGACAUUGAGUGAAGAACAAUAAACCCCAUCCUACCUAGAAACUGACUGCAGAAGCCAGUCAAGAGAACUCUCAGGCCAAGCACAGCCUAAAAUGUCAAGCAACAAACCCUAAAUAAAUGGUGGUGGGGUGUUGUUGUUGUUUGAGAGGCAGGGUUUUGCCAUGUUGCCCAGGCUGGUCUUGAACUCCUAGACUCAAGUGAUCCUCACGCCUGGCCUCCAAAAAUGGUGGGAUUAUAGGCAUGAGCCACUGAGCCCAGUCUGGUGGUUGUUUUAAACUACUAUGUUUGGGGUGGCUAUGAAACAAAACCUCAUAGAAACAGGACCCUUCAUUCUGUUCCCCAAUUGGGAACCAGUUACUUUGCUCAAUUGCAAAUUUCAUCAAAUGUCAAUUGAUUUUCAU